UCUGCUAAAUAUGUCAUGAUUGUGUCUAUGAGUUUGGAACUGCAUAAACAACGUGAUCAUAUGUUUUCGAUUGAGAUGUUGAUACACCUGAAGAGUGUUGAUGCUUUAGAAGCUAAGACCAUAAAGUAUAAGAUACUCAUGGAUCUCUUCAGGAUUAAUCUACAUGGAGUAGACAAGGUCUCUAUGAAUGUCUUGAAAAAGAUUGAGUUAAUUGAGAGGAUGGCCACGAUUGGAACGAGACUAUUCGAUAUUUG
rnacentral:lncRNA from 1 species